AUGAAGAAAGACAACCACUUAUUGUAUAUAAGAUUCCUGCAAUAAGAAAACCAAAGGAUGAGAACCAUGAGCCAUGGUCAAUUAUUUUGAAGAACUCUGAAGAACAGGAAAAGUGACAGAAGCCUGGGGAGAGAAAAAUGUGGUUCUGGACCAAGCUCACUCUGGGUUCACUGAAUUAAGCAAGAAGUAUUAACUUAUUUCCUGUUCUGACAGCUGAGAACUUUGACCGUCUGGGGAGGACAUUUGACAAGAUAACAACAUGUGUCACGAAAACACGCAAGAAAAGCCAUGGCCCAUGAAGAUGACUCUUGGUCUUUUGUAUUUCGUUUAACUACACCCACAUUUGGAAUCAUUCUCAGACCCAACUAACUUCGAUUCAUUUUUAAAGACUUGUCUGCCUAUAAAGAUGUGAUUACUGUCAUAACAAGAGCCGCCGGACUUUCCGUCUGAGGCAGUUUCUUGGAGAAUCCUUGCCAUCAUUCCAAUGUAUCAACUUCAAACUUCAGGAUUCAAUCAUCCAC